rnacentral:rRNA from 1 species
AUGGGGGGAACCCUGACCGAGCAACGCCGCGUGAGUGAAGAAGGUUUUCGGAUCGUAAAGCUCUGUUGUAAGAGAAGAACGAGUGUGAGAGUGGAAAGUUCACACUGUGACGGUAACUUACCAGAAAGGGACGGCUAACUACGUGCCAGCAGCCGCGGUAAUACGUAGGUCCCGAGCGUUGUCCGGAUUUAUUGGGCGUAAAGCGAGCGCAGGCGGUUAGAUAAGUCUGAAGUUAAAGGCUGUGGCUUAACCAUAGUACGCUUUGGAAACUGUUUAACUUGAGUGCAAGAGGGGAGAGUGGAAUUCCAUGUGUAGCGGUGAAAUGCGUAGAUAUAUGGAGGAACACCGGUGGCGAAAGCGGCUCUCUGGCUUGUAACUGACGCUGAGGCUCGAAAGCGUGGGGAGCAAACAGGAUUAGAUACCCUGGUAGUCCACGCCGUAAACGAUGAGUGCUAGGUGUUAGACCCUUUCCGGGGUUUAGUGCCGCAGCUAACGCAUUAAGCACU